rnacentral:tRNA from 1 species
GCCGUGAUCGUAUAGUGGUUAGUACUAUGCGUUGUGGCAUAGCAACCCCGGUUCGAAUCCGGGUCACGGCA